rnacentral:rRNA from 1 species
UACGAGGGGGGCGAGCGUUAAUCGGAAUUACUGGGCGUAAAGCGCACGUAGGCGGUUCGUUAUGUCGGAUGUGAAAGCCCUUGGCUUAACCGAGGAAGUGCAUCCGAAACUGGCGAGCUAGAGUACUAAAGAGGAUCGCGGAAUUCCCGGUGUAGAGGUGAAAUUCGUAGAUAUCGGGAGGAACACCGGUGGCGAAGGCGGCGAUCUGGGUAGAUACUGACGCUGAGGUGCGAAAGCGUGGGGAGCAAACAGG